UGUUUGAGAUAUUGCCAUAUUAGGAUAUGGGGAAAUCCAUGACAGCAUGAGCCACAGCCCUCAAAGAUACAGGGAGAGGAAUCCCCCUUCAAUUGACGCUCCUUAAAAAUGCCCCAUUUUCUGCAAAGCUUCAUGGUGUUGCCAGUGUUCCAUGCAGUUCUUCAUCAGAACUCACCGCAGGGAGCUCUGCAGUAGCUCAUGGGCAUCAGGAGCAAAAUGUCUUGUGUUGCUAGAUCACAGCUUCCUGGCACUUUAUUACAUUAGAUAAGUAAUAAGUGCUCUGACUUAGUAUGUACUGUGACUACAGAAUUUACUUUUACCCACAAAGGAGGAGCACUUACCACUUGGUUUCCUUUUCCGUAUUAUUUACAGAACAGCAUUUCAUGCAAGUGCCAAGUCAUAAUCCACUCUUGCCACACUUCAACCCACUGAGGAUUAUAUUAUCAGUCAGACGAACAGGAAAAUCUUCUCCUCACAGGAGGGUUGGAGAGCAGUUGAGCAAAGGGAAAGUCAGAGAAGAUAGUGCAACGAUGCUUCAUGAUUACUCCAGCUACAAUGACAUCCAAAAUGAGACAGGUGGUCAUGCCAGUUACAUUUGGGAUGUGUAUCACUAUAUCAACACAUUAAGAUAUGGUGACCUGCCAGUGAAUCUUGGAGAAAAUGGCUACAGAUCUACUGAAGACAACAUUUCUAGUUUUCUCUUUGAAAACAUAAGUCUCUCAAUUGAACCGUUAGCCAACGUAACACACAAGCAUCCCCUUGAUAAGUUAUCAAAAAAUAUUAUCAACGUUUUUGUUCUCAUAAUCUGCCUGCUGGGUCUAUUGGGAAAUGGAAGUGUCAUCUGGCUUCUGGGCUUCCGCCU